GUUCACCAACUGCACAAUUUUCUCAAUAUAUCUGUCUGCUGCCUGGCAGCCAAACUGUUGCUGAGAGGUCACCUUGGUAACAUGUGCUGCAUAGCUGAACCCUAGAGGGGCUGUAAUAAGAUUCCAGAUCGGAAAUGAAGUGCUUGGGAUGUCUGAUAUUAAAACGUUGCAUAACCCAAAAUGGAUAAACAAUAAGAUCAUUAACGCCUUCCUCCAUCAUUUAGCUAUGGUGCAUAACGCAACAUCUUGUCAUUGGGUAUUAGCGUUACCCAGCUACCUGAUGACGAUGUGGAUGGCGGGUAAUAUGGAUACAUGGAGGUUCCGGAAG